rnacentral:rRNA from 1 species
GCCGCCUCCGGGCAGCCGAAGAAGAGGACGUUCCGCAAGUUCAGCUACCGCGGCUUCGACCUCGACGCGAUCCUCGACAUGUCCGCCGCCGACCUCAUCCAGGUCCUCCCCGCCCGCGCCCGCAGAAGGUUCUACAGGGGGUUCAAGAGGAAGCAAUUGAUGCUCAUCAGGAGGCUGCGCAAGGCCAAGGCGGUAAUGGACCAUGCAUGCUCCUGCCCUGGAACUGCCUGCUAUUUGUACUAUGUACAGAAAAUGGAGGCACUUGCUGGUGAAAAGCCAGGGGUUGUGAAGACUCAUCUGCGCGACACGAUCAUCGUGCCAGAGAUGACAGGCAGCCAGAUUGCGGUGUACAAUGGGAAAAACUUCAACCAGGUUGAGAUCAAGCCCGAGAUGAUUGGCCACUACCUCGCCGAGUUCUCCAUCAGCUACAAGCCCGUCAAGCACGGGAGGCCCGGUAUCGGCGCCACCCACUCCUCGAGGUUCAUUCCUCUCAAGUGA